ensembl:lncRNA
CCGUGCGUGGAGGUGAGAUGGGGCUUAGCCCUGAAGUUUUCAAGGGUUCCCCUUGCAUGUGGGUGAAACUGGGGUGCCCUCCGGCUGAGGAGGGGACCCCGUGCGUGCAUGUGAGAUGGGGCUUAGCCCUGAAGUUUUCAAGGGUUCCCCUUGCGUGUGGGUCAAACUGGGGUGCCCUCCGGCUGAGGAGAGGACCCCGUGCGUGCCAGUGAGAUGGGGCUUAGCCCUGAAGUUUUCAAGGGUUCCCCUUGCGUGCAGGUCAAACUGGGUGCCCUCCGGCUGAGGAGGGGACCCCGUGCGUGGAAGUGAGAUGGGGCUUAGCCCUGAAGUUUUCAAGGGUUCCCCUUGCAUGUGGGUGAAACUGGGGUGCCCUCCGGCUGAGGAGGGGACCCCGUGCGUGCGGGUGAGAUGGGGCUUAGCCCUGAAGUUUUCAAGGGUUCCCCUUGCGUGCGGGUCAAACUGGGGUGCCCUCCGGCUGAGGAGGGGACCCCGUGCGUGGAGGUGAGAUGGGGCUUAGCCCUGAAGUUUUCAAGGGUUCCCCUUGCAUGUGGGUCAAACUGGGGUGCCCUCCGGCUGAGGAGGGGACCCCGUGCGUGGAGGUGAGAUGGGGCUUAGCCCUGAAGUUUUCUAGGGUUCCCCUUGUUUGCAAGUAGAACUGGGGUGCCCUCCGGCUGAGGAGAGGACCCCGUGCGUGGAGGUGAGAUGGGGCUUAGCCCUGAAGUUUUCAAGGGUUCCCCUUGCAUGUGGGUGAAACUGGGGUGCCCUCUGGCUGAGGAGGGGACCCCGUGCGUGCAUGUGAGAUGGGGCUUAGCCCUGAAGUUUUCAAGGGUUCCCCUUGCAUGCGGGUCAAACUGGGGUGCCCUCCAGCUGAGGAGGGGACCCCGUGCGUGGAGGUGAGAUGGGGCUUAGCCCUGAAGUUUUCAAGGGUUCCCCUUGCCUGUGGGUGAAACUGGGGUGCCCUCCGGCUGAGGAGAGGACCCCGUGCGUGGAGGUGAGAUGGGGCUUAGCCCUGAAGUUUUCAAGGGUUCCCCUUGUUUGCAAGUAGAACUGGGGUGCCCUCCGGCUGAGGAGGGGACCCCGUGCGUGCGGGUGAGAUGGGGCUUAGCCCUGAAGUUUUCAAGGGUUCCCCUUGCAUGUGGGUGGAACUGGGGUGCCCUCCGGCUGAGGAGAGGACCUCGUGCGUGCGGGUGAGAUGGGGCUUAGCCCUGAAGUUUUCAAGGGUUCCCCUUGCAUGCAGGUCAAACUGGGGUGCUCUCCGGCUGAGGAGAGGACCCCGUGCGUGCGGGUGAGAUGGGGCUUAGCCCUGAAGUUUUCAAGGGUUCCCCUUGCAUGCAGGUCAAACUGGGGUGCCCUCCGGCUGAGGAGGGGACCCCGUGCGUGGAGGUGAGAUGGGGCUUAGCCCUGAAGUUUUCGAGGGUUCCCCUUGCGUGCGGGUGGAAAUGGGGUGCCCUCCAGCUGAGGAGAGGACCCCGUGCGUGGAGGUGAGAUGGGGCUUAGCCCUGAAGUUUUCAAGGGUUCCCCUUGCGUGCGGGUGGAACUGGGGUGCCCUCCGGCUGAGGAGAGGACCCCGUGCGUGGAGGUGAGAUGGGGCUUAGCCCUGAAGUUUUCAAGGGUUCCCCUUGCAUGCGGGUCAAACUGGGGUGCCCUCCGGCUGAGGAGAGGACCCCGUGCGUGGAGGUGAGAUGGGGCUUAGCCCUGAAGUUUUCAAGGGUUCCCCUUGCAUGUGGGUGAAACUGGGGUGCCCUCCGGCUGAGGAGGGGACCCCGUGCGUGCCAGUGAGAUGGGGCUUAGCCCUGAAGUUUUCGAGGGUUCCCCUUGCGUGCGGGUGGAAAUGGGGUGCCCUCUAGCUGAGGAGAGGACCCCGUGCGUGGAGGUGAGAUGGGGCUUAGCCCUGAAGUUUUCAAGGGUUCCCCUUGCGUGCGGGUGGAACUGGGGUGCCCUCCGGCUGAGGAGGGGACCCCGUGCGUGGGGUAGAAGCCCCUGGUGAAGGGGUUUCUCCCCUGCGUGUGUGUGUGUGUGUGUACCUGUUUCUUGUUGCAAUUUCAGGUCCACUGUCUGCUCCAUAGCCAAGGUGGCCUUGCUGUUCUUUAGGGUCUGACCCUGCUCUCGUCUUCAUGCCCGUCUUCUGUCUGACGGCCAUGUGCAGGUUCAGCUGCCUCCAGCUCUUCUCCCCGACUUGCUUUCCCGUCCUGUGGAGGAAGGGCACGUCUCCGCAGCUGACAUCUCCCUUGGGCCUGCGCUUGCACCGAGCCGCUGCCAGAACGGGAACUGCAGGCGUCUGUUGAACAACAAAGCAAACGCCCAAGCAUUUCGGGUGUGAUGUCCCCAGCAUUCCAAGGAGAGAUUACGCAGCAGCAGCCCAAACGUCUGGAAUGGCUUCUUUCUAGGAGAGAAGCAAAGCCUUGGCGGAGCCAGAGCAGGAGCUUCUUUCCUGAAGGGAAGAGAACCUCCAGCCAUCGCUAUCCAUCUCCUCCCCCGCCAAAGGCCAAAGGCCAAAAGCCAAAGGCCAAAUCCCAAAUCCCAUAUCCCAAAUCCCCAAUCCCAAAUCCCAAAUCCCAAAUCCCCGCCUCCAUUGCUAACAUCAGAGCACAGCAAGCCGUACGUGUGCAGAAGCAUCCCAGAUUCCUAUGGCUCUGUAGCGGUGCGCUAAAGAGGGCCUCGGUCCUACAGCCUCACGGCAGGAACUUGGCAAACAAGGAGCUUCUCACGGGACUGCUCACUUGCAUCCACUGCCAUCGCAUCCACAGCCCGCAGCCCGCAGCCCGCAGCCGUCGGGUGAAGCCCUCAAGAGUACAACGGAGGUCGAGUGCUGAAAGCACGGGAGAGUUCCCGCAGCAACUGCUGCUAACAGCAGACGCUCCCAGCAACUCCAAGGAAGCCCUGAGAGCCCCGAGCCGUGCCCCAGGACCGCUUCCUCUCUCGAUUCACCGCCACCGCCACGGGAAAAGCAGACGGGAAAAGGGCACCGACGAAAGCUGCCGAUCGCGUUCACGACGGAGGCACUGCCGGCACUCGGGAG